rnacentral:rRNA from 1 species
GAUGAACGCUGGCGGCGUGCCUAAUACAUGCAAGUCGAGCGAACAGACGAGGAGCUUGCUCCUCUGACGUUAGCGGCGGACGGGUGAGUAACACGUGGAUAACCUACCUAUAAGACUGGGAUAACUUCGGGAAACCGGAGCUAAUACCGGAUAAUAUAUUGAACCGCAUGGUUCAAUGGUGAAAGACGGUUUUGCUGUCACUUAUAGAUGGAUCCGCGCCGCAUUAGCUAGUUGGUAAGGUAACGGCUUACCAAGGCAACGAUGCGUAGCCGACCUGAGAGGGUGAUCGGCCACACUGGAACUGAGACACGGUCCAGACUCCUACGGGAGGCAGCAGUAGGGAAUCUUCCGCAAUGGGCGAAAGCCUGACGGAGCAACGCCGCGUGAGUGAUGAAGGUCUUCGGAUCGUAAAACCCUGUUAUUAGGGAAGAACAAAUGUGUAAGUAACUAUGCACGUCUUGACGGUACCUAAUCAGAAAGCCACGGCUAACUACGUG